rnacentral:tRNA from 1 species
UCCCACGUAGUUCAGAUGGUAAAGAAUCUGUCUGCAAUGCAGGAGACCUAGGUUCAAUUCCUGGGUUGGGAA